rnacentral:rRNA from 1 species
ACUCCUACGGGAGGCAGCAGUGGGGAAUAUUGCACAAUGGGCGCAAGCCUGAUGCAGCCAUGCCGCGUGUGUGAAGAAGGCCUUCGGGUUGUAAAGCACUUUCAGUCGUGAGGAAGGUAGUCGGUUAAGUUUAAAUGACGGCCUGCUAUUAUUUGACGUUAGCGACAGAAGAAGCACCGGCUAACUCCGUGCCAGCAGCCGCGGUAAUACGGAGGGUGCGAGCGUUAAUCGGAAUUACUGGGCGUAAAGCGCAUGCAGGUGGUUUGUUAAGUCAGAUGUGAAAGCCCGGGGCUCAACCUCGGAAUUGCAUUUGAAACUGGCAGACUAGAGUACUGUAGAGGGGGGUAGAAUUUCAGGUGUAGCGGUGAAAUGCGUAGAGAUCUGAAGGAAUACCGGUGGCGAAGGCGGCCCCCUGGACAGAUACUGACACUCAGAUGCGAAAGCGUGGGGAGCAAACAGGAUUAGAUACCCUGGUAGCUACGAGU